UCAACCAAUCCUUCAAUAGGUCACCAGC
rnacentral:piRNA from 1 species